rnacentral:rRNA from 1 species
UACGGGGGGGGCAAGCGUUGUUCGGAAUUACUGGGCGUAAAGGGCUCGUAGGCGGCCAACUAAGUCGGAUGUGAAAUCCCCAGGCUCAACCUGGGAACUGCAUCCGAUACUGGAUGGCUUGAAUCCGGGAGAGGGAUGCAGAAUUCCAGGUGUAGCGGUGAAAUGCGUAGAUAUCCGGAGGAACACCGGUGGCGAAGGCGGCUUCCUGGACCGACACUGACGCUGAGGCGCGAAAGCCAGGGGAGCAAACGGG